rnacentral:tRNA from 1 species
GGCCGGUUAGCUCAGCUGGUUUGAGCGUGGUGCUAAUAACGCCAAGGUCCUGGGUUCAAUCCGCAUACUAGCCA